rnacentral:rRNA from 1 species
AUUUAGGUAGCGCCUCGUGAACUCAUCUCCGGGGGUAGAGCACUGUUUCGGCAAGGGGGUCAUCCCGACUUACCAACCCGAUGCAAACUGCGAAUACCGGAGAAUGUUAUCACGGGAGACACACGGCGGGUGCUAACGUCCGUCGUGAAGAGGGAAACAACCCAGACCGCCAGCUAAGGUCCCAAAGUCAUGGUUAAGUGGGAAACGAUGUGGGAAGGCCCAGACAGCCAGGAUGUUGGCUUAGAAGCAGCCAUCAUUUAAAGAAAGCGUAAUAGCUCACUGGUCGAGUCGGCCUGCGCGGAAGAUGUAACGGGGCUAAACCAUGCACCGAAGCUGCGGCAGCGACGCUUAUGCGUUGUUGGGUAGGGGAGCGUUCUGUAAGCCUGCGAAGGUGUACUGUGAGGUAUGCUGGAGGUAUCAGAAGUGCGAAUGCUGACAUAAGUAACGAUAAAGCGGGUGAAAAGCCCGCUCGCCGGAAGACCAAGGGUUCCUGUCCAACGUUAAUCGGGGCAGGGUGAGUCGACCCCUAAGGCGAGGCCGAAAGGCGUAGUCGAUGGGAAACAGGUUAAUAUUCCUGUACUUGGUGUUACUGCGAAGGGGGGACGGAGAAGGCUAUGUUGGCCGGGCGACGGUUGUCCCGGUUUAAGCGUGUAGGCUGGUUUUCCAGGCAAAUCCGGAAAAUCAAGGCUGAGGCGUGAUGACGAGGCACUACGGUGCUGAAGCAACAAAUGCCCUGCUUCCAGGAAAAGCCUCUAAGCAUCAGGUAACAUCAAAUCGUACCCCAAACCGACACAGGUGGUCAGGUAGAGAAUACCAAGGCGCUUGAGAGAACUCGGGUGAAGGAACUAGGCAAAAUGGUGCCGUAACUUCGGGAGAAGGCACGCUGAUAUGUAGGUGAAGUCCCUCGCGGAUGGAGCUGAAAUCAGUCGAAGAUACCAGCUGGCUGCAACUGUUUAUUAAAAACACAGCACUGUGCAAACACGAAAGUGGACGUAUACGGUGUGACGCCUGCCCGGUGCCGGAA